rnacentral:tRNA from 1 species
GCGGGGUGGAGCAGUCUGGUAGCUCGUCGGGCUCAUAACCCGAAGGUCGUCGGUUCGAAUCCGGCCCCCGCUACCA